rnacentral:rRNA from 1 species
CUCGUAGGCGGUUCGUCGCGUCCGGUGUGAAAGUCCAUCGCUUAACGGUGGAUCCGCGUCGGGUACGGGCGGGCUUGAGUGCGGUAGGGGAGACUGGAAUUCCCGGUGUAACGGUGGAAUGUGUAGAUAUCGGGAGGAACACCGAUGGCGAAGGCAGGUCACUGGGCCAUUACUGACGCUGAGGAGCGAAAGCAUGGGGAGCGAACA